rnacentral:rRNA from 1 species
ACGGGGCCCGCACAAGCGGUGGAGCAUGUGGUUUAAUUCGAUGAUACGCGAGGUAACCUUACCUGGGCUCAAAUGUAUGUUGACGUAUUCUGAAAGGGAUACUUCUUCGGACAAUAUACAAGGUGCUGCAUGGUUGUCGUCAGCUCGUGUCGUGAGAUGUUGGGUUAAGUCCCGCAACGAGCGCAACCCUUGUGUUUUAGUUGCAAACAGGUCAAGCUGUGCACUCUAGACAGACUGCCGUGGACAACACGGAGGAAGGUGGGGAUGACGUCAAAUCAUCAUGCCCCUUAUGAUCUGGGCUACACACGUGCUACAAUGGCCGGUACAACGGGCAGCGAAGGAGCGAUCCGGAGCGAAUCCUAAAAAGCCGGUCCCAGUUCGGAUUGCAGGCUGAAACUCGCCUACAUGAAGUUGGAGUUGCUAGUAAUCGCGAAUCAGAAUGUCGCGGUGAAUGCGUUCCCGGGUCUU